CUGGCAAUCAGAGAGAAAUACAGUCAACACAAGUACAAAUUUGUUGCGAAGAAAUACUGCCCGCCUUCAGUACCUGCAGAGUAUUUCCAGAACCUAAGCUGCUAGACAGACAGACAGCCAGUUGUAUAUGACUGUUUCAAUGCUCCAUUGGAUGGACUUCUUCAUCUGCUGCUGUUCCAAUGCUCCCGUUGGAUGGAAAUUCAGACAAUGCUUUUAUGUUGAAAUGUUUCACGCAUGAAUGGGGCCUCUGCUGAUAUCUCAUUGUGCUCUGCUUCAUUGACCCAGAUGACAAACCUUGUACCAUAUUGUUUUCAGAUUUUCUUACUCACUAUUCAAUGUGUUCAUUUUCCAAUUUUCCAGAAUUUCAUCUCUGUUGCUGUACUUGUUUUAGGCCAUUUGGCUGGCUUGAUGUUCCAAUGAUCUAAAUGUCUUUAAACGUGUGAGCAACAAAAUUUAACUGAGCCAA